rnacentral:rRNA from 1 species
GCUCGUAGGCGGUUUGUCGCGUCUGCUGUGAAAACUGGAAGCUCAACUUCCAGCCUGCAGUGGGUACGGGCAGACUAGAGUGCGGUAGGGGAGAACGGAAUUCCUGGUGUAGCGGUGGAAUGCGCAGAUAUCAGGAGGAACACCGAUGGCGAAGGCAGUUCUCUGGGCCGUUACUGACGCUGAGGAGCGAAAGCGUGGGGAGCGAACAGGAUUAGAUACCCUGGUAGUCCACGCCGUAAACGGUGGGUGCUAGCUGUGGGCCACAUUCCACGUGGUCCGUGACGAAGUUAACACAUUAAGCACCCCGCCUGGGGAGUACGGCCGCAAGGCUAAAACUCAAAGGAAUUGACGGGGGCCCGCACAAGCGGCGGAGCAUGCGGAUUAAUUCGAUGCAACGCGAAGAACCUUACCAAGGCUUGACAUAUAGAGGAAAAGUGCAGAAAUGUACUCCCCGUAAGGUCUCUAUACAGGUGGUGCAUGGUUGUCGUCAGCUCGUGUCGUGAGAUGUUGGGUUAAGUCCCGCAACGAGCGCAACCCUCGUCCUAUGUUGCCAGCACGUAAUGGUGGGAACUCAUGGGAUACUGCCGGGGUCAACUCGGAGGAAGGUGGGGAUGACGUCAAAUCAUCAUGCCCCUUAUGUCUUGGGCUUCACGCAUGCUACAAUGGCCGGUACAGAGGGCUGCAAUACCGUAAGGUGGAGCGAAUCCCAAAAAGCCGGUCUCAGUUCGGAUUGAGGUCUGCAACUCGACCUCAUGAAGUCGGAGUCGCUAGUAAUCGUAGAUCAGCAACGCUACGGUGAAUACGUUC